AGAGUUUGAUCAUGGCUCAGGAUAACGCUGGCGACGUGGAUAAGGCAUGCAAGUCGAACGGUUGCAACAACAGUGGCGAACGGGUUAGUAACACGUAGAUAUCAACCCUUUACUCGGGCAUAACCUGGAGAAAUCUAGGCUAAUUCCCGAUACCGGAAACGGUAAAGAUUUUUCGGUAAAGGAUGAGUCUGCGUCCUAUCAGCUAGUUGGUGAGGUAAUGGCUCACCAAGGCAAUGACGGGUAGGCGGAGUGAGAGCUUGACCGCUAACAAUGGCACUGAGACACGGGCCAUACUCCUACGGGAGGCAGCAGUCGAGAAUAUUUGACAAUGGGCGAAAGCCUGAUCAAGCGACGUCGCGUGUGGGAGAUUCGUUGACCACUUUUCUAGGGGACCCUGAAUAAGGGGUGACAAACUCGUGCCAGCAGUAGCGGUAAUACGAGUGCCCCAAGCGUUAUCCGGAUUUAUUGGGCGUAAAGGGUCUGUAGGUGGUUUGUUAAGUUUCUCGUUAAACUCCAGGGCUUAACCUUGGAAGCGGGAAAAACUGGCAAACUAGAGGAUGUUAGAGGCUGAUGGAACACUUGGUGAAGGGGUGGAAUCCGUUGAUAUCAAGUGGAACACCGAAAGCGAAAGCAAUCAGCUGGGACGUCCUGACACUGAAAGACGAAAGCGUGGGGAGAGAAAAGGAUUAGAUACCCUUGUAUUCCACGCCUUAAACGAUGAAUACUAGCUAUUGCAAGUCGACUGCAGUGGCGAAGCUAACGCGUUAAGUAUUCCGCCUGGGAAGUACGGCCGCAAGGCUGAAACUCAAAGGAAUUGACGGGGGCGCACAAGCGGUGGAGCAUGUGGUUUAAUUCGAUGCUAACCGAAGAACCUUACCUGGGUCAUCCCUCGAAUCCUGUAGAGAUACGGGAGCUUGCGAGGGAAGGUGCUGCAUGGCUGUCGUCAGCUCGUGCCGUGAGGUGUUGGGUUAAGUCCCGCAACGAGCGCAACCCCUAUUUUUAGCUGCCAUCACGUAAGGUGGGCACUCUAAAGAGACCGCCGGGGAUAACCCGGAGGAAGGUGGGGAUGACGUCAAGUCAUCAUGGCCCUUAUGUCCAGGGCUACACACGUGCUACAAUGGUGCAUACAGAGGGCAGCGAGACAGCGAUGUUAAGCGAUCCCUUAAAGUGUACCUCAGUUCGGAUUGCAGUCUGCAACUCGACUGCAUGAAGCCGGAAUCGCUAGUAAUCGCAGGUCAGCAAAACUGCGGUGAAUACGUUCCCGGGCCUUGUACACACCCCCGUC
rnacentral:rRNA from 1 species